rnacentral:rRNA from 1 species
GAUGAACGCUGGCGGCGUGCACAAUACAUGCAAGUCGUGCGAAGCGGGGAUGGGUGAGUAACAAGUGGAUAAACUACUAUAAGACUGGGAAAACUUCUGGAAACCGGAAAUAAACCGGAUACUUAUAGAUGGCUACGCUCUGCAUUAGCUAGUUGGUAGGGUAACGGCUUACCAAGGCAACGAUGCAUAGCCGACCUGAGAGGGUGAUAUGCCACACUGGAACAGCGACACGGUCGAGCCUCACAAGGGAGGCAGCAUUAGGGAAUGAUCCGCAAUGGGCGAAAGCCUAACGGAGCAGCGCCGAGUGAGUGAUGAAGGUCUUUGGAUCGUGAAACUCUGUUAUUAGGGGAGCGGUACCUAAUCAGAAAGCCACGACUAACUACGAGGCAGAAGCCGCAGUAAUUC